CUCAUUUAGUUUACAUUCUGGUUUUUUUCCAGAUAUGUAACAUGAUACCAUAACUAUCCCUUGUGAGCUCUGACAAGAUAGGAAGGCAGCCUUAGCCGGACAUGGAUGAAUCUGGAAACCAUCAUUCUCAGCAAAUUGAUACAAGAACAGAAAAUCAAACACCACAUGUUCUCACUCAUAGGCGGUGUUGAACAGUGAGAACACAUGGACACAGAGAGAGUAUACUUCCCUGCCUCUGUUACUUUGGGACUAUUCCUGUGAUUUGCUUUGAUCAGUGGAAUGUGAGCAGAGAUUAUUCAAGCAGAAGCUUUAAAUGGAACUACAGAAUUAGAAUUUGGUUUGUCUAUUGUGAUUGGUGAUUCUCCAUGAGAUUAUGCCUUGGAUAGGCUUUAGUUAAUGAAAACAGAAGCAUCCAUGGAGCAGAUAUAAACUCAAUGCACAGCCUGUGCUAAACUGAGAAAAUCUGCAGCUUAAAGAUGUAACAGCCACUGUCAAUGCACAUACUGUGAGAAAAAAAUGAGAUAAAUGAAUGUUUAUUGCUUUAAAUUGCUAAGUUUUGCAUUCUUGUUAAGCAGCAUUGUUGUGAUAUUAGUUGACUGAUGUAUAGCUCAAGUUAUGGGCAUGAGUGAUUCUGCUACAUAUUGCCUAUUUCCAACCAUUUGGGAUACUGUCUUUUUCACUUCUACCAGCAGUAUAAGUGUGUUUUUAUUUCCAUCGAGUCUUGUAAACAGAAUGUAUUAUCCAAA